rnacentral:snoRNA from 1 species
UUUCAAUGAUGAUUUGCUUUUGGUCCGUGUUUCUGAUACAAAGUGACUGAAAUUUUACUUUUCAAAAGCUCUGAUGAA